rnacentral:antisense_RNA from 1 species
UGUAGGAGCUGCGGCACGCUGCGAUCUUUUGAUCUUGUUUUUUUAAGAUCAAAAGAUCGCAGCGUGCCGCAGCUCCUACA